rnacentral:sRNA from 1 species
UUUUUAUUUUAUUUUU